rnacentral:lncRNA from 1 species
CCUGUUGGUUAUUCACAGCUCAGGGUCCCUUCAGGCAGCAAGUGAUGAAUCCUUCCAGGAAUGAGUCCUUCUCUUCAAGGCAAUGAAUUCCCUUCUUGCCUAGGGUGUGUCCAGAAAUGUCCAGGAGCUAGGGCCUGAAAUGAGGGUCUCACAACUCUGACCGGUGCUCUAUUCUGCUGUGGCUGAGCUGGUAUCCAAGAUGCAAGACAAAGUCUUCCCCACUAUUCCAUCUCCUCUCCUCAAGCAGAAGGAAGGAGUCUCUUUUACAGCCAGGAUUUUUGCAGCCUGGGCUUCGGGGAUGGGUGAGGCCAGCACUCCCUUAGCUGCCCCAGCUGGUGUCGCAGUAGGUCGCAUGCAACCACAGUCUACUGUCUCUUGGUCCAGUUCAGCCUAUGACUCACCUUGGUGUUGCAGUCCUUGAGGCCUAAAUUGCGUUUCAAAUUUAUUUGAAGCCCCAAAGCACUUUUGCCCACAGUGGUGAGGCUUGUAGGAACUCAAGUUCCAACCGCUGGGAUCAGCAAUUCCCCUCUGGCUCCGGCUGGUUUAAAUGCUGUCUUUGCGGGAGGGUGCCAGCUGAGUUUGGUCCGGCUCUGCUUUCAGCUAUAACAAGGGCAGCACUGAGUUCAAUGCCUCACAGUUGCUGGCUCUCCCUCUCCCCAGGGUGCAGAAAAGCUCUCUGCACCACAUUGCCACUGCCAAGGAAGGGGGGAGGGAUGGCAUAGGCAAUUCAAGUCUGUUUUUUCUACUUCUUCGGUGCCUCUUUCAGCGAUAUGAAUUUAAAACCAGUGUGCCGUUAGAUUUCACCCAUCUGGAUUCAGAUUCCACUAAUUUUGGAAGUCCACAUAAUGCUGACAGUAUCAUUAAAAAAAGUGAUGUCUUUAAGAUAUUUAUCAAAUGCUGAUUAUAUGACAAGACCUACACUGGAUCCUUGGGAUACAACCAUAAGAUAAUUGUGACAGUCCCAAUCCUUACAAAGACAGGCAAAAAGUUCAUAGACCAUCAUUUGUCUAUGGACCACACUUUGAACACAACUGCUCUGGACAAGCAGGCCUUGGAUUUCUACGUGUUUGUGUCUUAGAUCUGUUAAACUCAGCUGACCCACCACACCCAAGCAGAACUUCAAAAGAAGCUGUGAAAAGCGUGCUUGUUCUAGCUGGAAGAUCAUCCUGAGUCCCUCCCUGUUUAUUCUUGAAAUGUUUGGGCCUCCUUUCAUCUCCAGUUCUCAGAUUUGGGCACAAUAACCGAGCUCUGAUGUCUACAUCUAACCCUGUGGAUCCCAGGCUGUCAAUGAAAUGUUUAUUUCAUGCGGAUUCCGUGGCUCUGCUGACUCAGCUUAUUUUGCAGUCUCUAUUACCCUAUUGCGAAAUCUCCCUGUCUAUGACUAGCCUCGAAAUCCCAAUUUCCAGAGGACAAGGAUCUGGACAUCCACUGCCCCUCUUCUUGCAGCACAGCCAGCCCUGGAAGGACCCUCUAACUUUAGCUACACUUGAAACAGAAAUUUUACAUGACUCACCAUAUGAUAGCAUUGAUGCUCUCCUGUAAUUCAAAUUCAACCUUCGUGUUUCACUUUCAAACCUGCUUCAUCAAAGUGACAUAUUCAAUAGAACAGAAGAGUGGCCUUUUCUGAGAUUUUUAUUAGGGGAAAAGGAUGUACAGUGAAUUACACCUCACACCUCACACCUCAAAGAAAACUUCCAAAAUAUGUUUUUUACCUAUCUUCUUUCCCCAGAUUCCCACAUCAUACAACAGUAGCUUUAUCUCUGUCUCUUUCUCUCUCUCUCUCUGUCUUUCUCUCUCUCUGAAUCGCUAGCUUAUUGUUGCUCUCUAAGUUCCAUGAAGCUGUAAAAAAAAAAAGAAUAAGAUACUUAUGAACUAAUGUGCAGCAAUUUCCCAGACAUAUUGUUAAAUGACCAAAAGCACGGUGCAGAAGAAUACAUAUAGUAUGCCACCUUUUGUGUAAAAAAGAUUAGGAAGUAAGAAAUCAGGCAUAUCUUUACAAAAAGAAAGAGGAAAAGUGAAAACUAUGAAGUUUUCAGGGGAAGCGUAUGGAACAUAUAUGCAAAGUGUGACACUUCCCUGACAAUUCCUGUUUUUACGGUUUGACAUGAAGUUAUCUUAAUAUUCUACAUACUGAAAGAAUAAACAUAAUUUGAAAAAGGAUAAGAAAGGAAAGAAAAUGAAAGCAAACGCAAACAUGAACCCAAUGUUAUUUCUAAAGAAAAAUGUAGCAUAUUACAGGGACGGUGUGGCAAUGAAAGGACAACCCUGAGUAGCUUAUGAUCACAGUAUUUGACUAUAAACCCUUAGCUUUGGGCAAGUUACAUGUACAGGGUAGAGAACACCAGACAAAUCCUGAAGGGUUUCAGAGGUAUGGGCAAAGCAAUUCUGAAAUUAUUUUAGAUCUAUUAUAAGAGUAAACAAAUUAGUAAAUGUAUCGAAGUUGUUGGGAGCUACUUGUUUUCUUGCUGUGGAAAAGGGGGCUAAUAAACAUGAAACAGAGAAAGCAAGCACUUAGUGAGGCUGGAUCAGAAUCAGUGGUAUCAGCAUGGACUCAAGAUUUCUAAAUAGAUACAUAUAUACACACACACACGUAUACAUUUAUAUGCAUGUAUAUAUGUGUACAUGUAUAUGUAUCUAAUUUAUGUGUAUAUAAAAAUACAUGUAGUAAGUAUAUAUUUAGGUGUUUAUAUGUCUAUAUACCUGUAUAUAUUUCUUAUCUCAGACCACAAAAAGACCUAGAGGCAGAAAUACCACAGUAGCAUUGAACACACUUGGUGCCCAGAUUUUAGCCCCUAAUAUCAGUCCCCACUAAAGAGAACAAGGGGUCUCGUUUUCUUGCUGCUGGUAUUCACUCAACUGCUCAAACUAAAACUUUGUCAUUCGUUUUUAAAAAUUAAUAUUACUAUUAAUCUUUAAAGAUUACUAAGUGUUCUCCAAAUUAUUUUGCAUGGUAUACAAGGACCCUCAAACUUUUAAACUUUUAAAUCAAAUUAAAUUUCUAGAGUACUUUAGCAAACGACUUGCUAAAAUCUCUAAAGAGCCCUAUUUUAUAAUUCAAACAGGAAUAAGCUGUUAAUUUGGGCUUAUUGGGUUUUACAAUACCAAAAAUGUCAAUAUGCUUAGCGACAGACUACUCUAUUAUAUCUAUGUCAUUGAAGAAACUAUUUAGGAAAUGAUUUUAACUUGCAAAUCGAGUAGUCUUUAUGAAAAAAAUACAUCUCUUUUGCUUCAGUUGGCUUUUUCUAGAUGAGGUAGAAGUUAUUGAGGAAGAUCUCUAAGCUAUAGGUUAAUUCCAAGGUUUAUCAUUAAUGCUUAUGCUGACCUUUUUGAGAAUAACUAAGUGAAUUUUUUUAAAAUCCGAGAAAGUUGACCAUAAAAGGAUUCCAGGUAUAAACAUUUUUCCAUUCCAGGUGACCUCCUGUUUUUCAUUCUAUUUCAUUUGAUUUAACUUUUUGGCACAAAACUUACAGGUUCUUUGUCAACAAUACUUAACAGACUCAGUAAAUUAGUAGAUUUUGAAGAGUGGUUUAAUCAUAAAGGAAAGAAAGUACAUGGUCCUAACAUCCUCUCUUGUAAUGGGGUAGGAUCAUGGAUUUCUUCUUGGGAAUCAGGCAGGAGCACUGCAAACUCCCAUGGACUAGCAAGUGACUCACCCUAAGGUCACUGAAGAAAGGAGUGGCCAAGGUCCAAGGGUGGGAAAAAAACCUUCUAAUUAAUUAAACUUAUACUUGACCUAGUGUGACUAGCAUUGGAGCAUUACCUGCUUCAGCGGUUUUACAAGGCUGUUGGGAAGAUGGGGCUGUUUUGUUUUUUAUUUUGUUUUGUUUGUUUACAACAGUGCCCCCCAAAGUGCCUCUUUAUUCCUAAGGACUUUAAUCACAAUUUGAAAACCACUCAUCUAUUCAGCCUCUUGGUUUUAUUUAUUGGGAACUAAGAACCAGAUACUGUGGACUUCCAGUAUGAGACAAAGGUGUUAUUUAAGCAAGUAAUGAAACAAAAAUACUUGUUGAAUACUCUCUUUCAACACUUCAAAGAAGCCAGGAAGGGAGAAGAAAGAGUUUUGGAGGGGAAUCACCACCACACCUCUCUGCUGAGUGGGUUGGGGCAUUCAACUCUAAAGCAGAGGCAAAGGAGCCCCGGGCAAGCCUGGCCAUCCCCCUAGGCUCGAUUUGCACCCAUAGGAGACUUUAGCCAUAGGGGAACUGUCAGUUCUGAAUUCUGUAGGGUGGUCUUGUCCAUCAGAUGGGACCAGUACAACCUGAGCACCCCUUGGUCUGCUAGACUCUCCUGGGGCCACAGCCUGGCCACACAUAGUUGCAGGGCAGCCUUUGGUGCCCUGAGGGCCCACACCAUAGCUUUUGCAAUGGUGGAUCACGCCUGACAGAUGGAGAGCUCCAGUGGGCAGUGCCUAUGGACACACACCAGUCCACACAUUCCCUUCCAAUACUGCGGCUUCCUCUGGGCCCCUGGCAACUCCUCACAUUGUUUUGCUGGCAUGUGGCUGCACAGGGCAGGUUUUGCUUUUGUUGCCUCACCAGCAUGCAGGAGUGCAGUCAGCCCCUCUGCCGCCUGCUGAUUGCUAUUGCAGAUGGAGCAUUGAUGGGCACAGAGCAAACCAGCCCUCCCCCUGCAAGCACCCUGCCUUAUGCAAACACUAUACAGAGAAAAGUGGAUCCACCCCUGCCCUGAGGGACCACUCCUGCUUGUAGGGCACAAAGAAGGCACCCAGACCAGUGCCUGCCAACAUCUUGCUCCCAAGCCAACACCACCUUGAGUGCGACUGCACAGUCGCAGGCAACACACACCCCUCUAGCUGCAUUGCCUCCACCACUGCGAUGAAUGCUCACAGGGAGGCAGGACCCCCAGCACCCACUAGCACUCUGCCACAGCUGCUGCUACCAAUGCUGCUGAAAUGCAGACAAGAAGGAUCCCACUGUCACUACACCACGAAACAUUUUGGCUGACAUCACCCAUCAGAGUGCAGUAAACAGUGGUCCAGGAGCACCUCAGUGCCCCCAGGAUAGCAGAUUCCUAAUCUCAAGGAGACAGAGAACAAAGUGGGGCCCAACACAAGUCCUCCAAAGUUAGAGAACUAAGCCCAGGAGUUGAGAGCUGAGGACCAAAUCUCUAAAAUCUUCCAGAAAUGAAGCCAGUUAGCUGACUGCACCUUAUACCACAAUCAAAUCCUCAAGGUCAUUAAAUAGGAUAAAAGAAAAAACACUCAUCCAAAGGUAAGCAUCCUCAAAGACUGAAGGAAGAUAAGCCCAGAAGAUGAGAAACAAUCAGUACAAGAACCCUGAUAACGCACAAAGCCAGAGUACCUUUUUACCUCCAAAAACACACAUCACCUCUCCAGCAAGGUUCUGAACUGGCUGAGAUGGCUGAAAUGACAGAAAUGUAAUUCAGAAUAUGGAUAGAAAUGAUUGAGCUAUAGGAAUAAGGUGAAAUCUAAUGCAAGGAAGCUAAAAAAUCAUAAACAAUGCAGGAACUUACAGACAAAAUAGUCAGUAUAGAAAAGAACCUAACCAACCUAAUAGAGCUAAAAAAUACACUGCAAGAAAUUUUACAAUGCAACCACAACUAUUAGUAGCAGAUUAGGCCAAGUGGAGGAAAGAAUCUCAGAGCUUGAAGACUGUCUUUCUGAAAUAAGACUGUAAUAAAGAAAUAGAGAAAAAAGAAUAAAAAGAAAUAAACAAAAUCCCUGAGAGAUGUGGGAUUACAUAAAGAAGAAAUCUAUGACUCCUGGGUGUCCCUAAAAGAGAUGGGGAGAAGGGAACUAUAUAAUCUAUUCUCAUGCUGCAAAUAAAACAUGUCUGAGACUGGGUAAUUUAUAAAGGGAAGAGGUUUAAUGGACUCACAGUUCAGCAUGACUGGGAGGAUUCACAAUCAUGGUAGAAGGUAAAGGAAAAGCAAAGGGAAGUCUUA